rnacentral:rRNA from 1 species
UACGUAGGGUGCGAGCGUUAAUCGGAAUUACUGGGCGUAAAGCGUGCGCAGGCGGUUCGUUGUGUCGGCGGUGAAAGCCCCGGGCUUAACCUGGGAAUGGCCGUUGAAACUGGCGAACUGGAGUGUGGCAGAGGGGGGUGGAAUUCCGCGUGUAGCAGUGAAAUGCGUAGAGAUGCGGAGGAACACCGAUGGCGAAGGCAGCCCCCUGGGCUAACACUGACGCUCAGUGCACGAAAGCGUGGGGAGCAAACAGG